GGUUUGAUUCUGGCUCAGAUUGAACGCUGGCGGGAUGCUACAUACAAGUCAGACAGCACGGACUUCAGUCUGGUGGCGAGUGGCGAACGGGUGAGUAAUGUAUCGGAACGACGCUAGUAGCGGGGGAUAACUACUGCGAAAGCGUAGCUAAUACCGCAUACGCCCUUCGGGGGAAAGCGGGGGACCUUCGGGCCUCGCGCUACUGAAGCGGCCGAUAUCGGAUUAGCUAGUUGGUGGGGUAACGGCUCGCAAGGCGACGAUCCGUGUGGCGGUUUGAGAGGACGACCAGCCUUUGGGACUGAGACACGGCCCAGACUCCUACAGAGGAGGCAGCAGUGGGGAAUUUUGGACAAUGGAAGCCUGAUCCAAAACCAUCCCGCGACUAGCGAUGAAGGCCUUCGGGUUGUAAAGCACUUUUGGCAGGAAAACAGCACGGGAUAAUACCCCGUGCAGCUGUUUGCAGAAUAAGCACCGGCUAACUACGUACCAGCAGCCGCGGUAAUACGUAGGAGGUGCAAGCGUUAAUCAGGUGCUGGGCGUAAAGCGUGCGCAGGCGGUUGGAAAGAAGAUGUGAAAUCCCAGAGCUUAACUUUUGGAACUGCAUUUUUAACUACCGAGCUAGGUGAGUGUCAGAGGAGGUGGAAUUCCGCGUGUGAGUGAAGUGAUACGUAGAUAUUGCGGAGGAACACCAUUGCUUAGCCAGCCUCCUGGAGAUAACGCUGACGCUCAUGCCGCACGCUGACGUGGGAGCAAACAGGAUUAGAUACCUGGUAGUCCGCGCCUAAACGAUGUCAACUAGCUGUUUGGGGCCUUCGGGCCUUGUGGUAGCGCAAUAACGCUUGAAGUUGACCGCCUGGGGAGAGUACGGUCAUAAGAUUAAAACUCAAAGGAAUUGACGGGGACCCGCACAAGCGGUGGAUGAUGUGGAUUAAUUCGAUGCAACGCGAAAAACCUUACCUACCCUUGACAUGUCCGGAAUCCCGAAGAGAUUUGGGAGUGCUCGCAAAGAGAACCGGAACACAGGUGCUGCAUGGCUGUCGUCAGCUCGUGUCGUGAGAUGUUGGGUUAAGUCCCGCAGCAGGCGCAACCGCCUUGUCAUUAGUUGCUACGAAGGGCAUACAAUGAGACUGCCGGUGACAAACCGGAGGAAGGUGGGGAUGACGUCAAGUCCUCAUGGCCCCCGCUGCUGGGUAGGAAGACUUCACACGUCAUACAAUGAAUGCGGGACAGAGGGUCGCCAACCCGCGAGGAGCCAAUCAGAAACCCGAUCGUAGUCCGGAUCGCAGUCUGCAACUCGACUGCGUGAAGUCGGAAUCGCUAGUAAUCGCGGAUCAGCAUGUCGCGGUGAAUACGUUCCCAGGUCCUUUUUACCGCCCGUCACUGUGGGAGUAGGUUUGCAGAAGUAGUUAGCUACAACCGUAAGGAGGGCAUUACCACGGUAGGAUUCAUGACUGGGGUGAAGUCGCUUAAGGUAA
rnacentral:rRNA from 1 species